rnacentral:rRNA from 1 species
UACGGAGGGUGCAAGCGUUGUCCGGAAUCACUGGGCGUAAAGGGCGCGUAGGCGGCUCAUGAAGGCUGUGGUGAAAGUCCGGGGCUCAACUCCGGAUCUGCGGUGGGUACGGGCAGACUAGAGUGAUGUAGGGGAGACUGGAAUUCCUGGUGUAGCGGUGAAAUGCGCAGAUAUCAGGAGGAACACCGAUGGCGAAGGCAGGUCUCUGGGCAUUAACUGACGCUGAGGAGCGAAAGCUAGGGGAGCAAACAGG